rnacentral:rRNA from 1 species
UGAGGAAUAUUGGGCAAUGCCCGAAAGGGUGACCCAGCAACGCCGCGUGGAGGAUGAGGGUCGUAAGAUUGUAAACUCCUGUUAGAGGGGAAGAAUAACUAAGUUUGGAGCUUAGUAUGACUGUACCCUCAGAGAAAGCCCCGGCUAACUACGUGCCAGCAGCCGCGGUAAUACGUAGGGGGCAAGCGUUGUCCGGAUUUACUGGGUGUAAAGGGCGCGCAGGCGGAAUGGAAAGUCAGUGGUGAAAUCCUACAGCUUAACUGUAGAACUGCCUUUGAUACUUUCAUUCUUGAGUUCGGGAGAGAGAGACGGAAUUCCAGGUGUAGUGGUGAAAUACGUAGAUAUCUGGAAGAACACCAGUUGCGAAGGCGGUCUCUUGGUCCGAUACUGACGCUGAGGCGCGAAAGCGUGGGGAGCAAACA